rnacentral:rRNA from 1 species
CCUACGGGGGGCAGCAGUGGGGAAUAUUGGGCAAUGGGCGCAAGCCUGACCCAGCAACGCCGCGUGAAGGAAGACGGCUCUCGGGUUGUCAACUUCUUUUAUUCGGGACGAAACAAAUGACGGUACCGAAUGAAUAAGACACGGCUAACUAAGUGCCAGCAGCCGCGGUAAUACGUAGGUGGCAAGCGUUAUCCGGAUUUAAUGGGUGUAAAGGGCGUGUAGGCGGGAGAGCAAGUCAGACGUGAAAGUCCAGGGCUCAACCCUGGACCUGCGUUUGAAACUGGUCUUCUUGAGUGAUGUAGAGGCAGGUGGAAUGCCGUGUGUAGCGGUGAAAUGCGUAGAUAUACGGAGGAACACCAGUGGCGAAGGCGGCCUGCUGGACAUUAACUGACGCUGAGGCGCGAAAGCGUGGGGAGCAAACAGGAUUAGAUACCCGGGUAGUC